rnacentral:rRNA from 1 species
GAUGAACGCUAGCGACAGGCCUAACACAUGCAAGUCGAGGGGCAGCACGGUGUAGCAAUACACGGGUGGCGACCGGCGCACGGGUGAGUAACGCGUAUGCAACCUGCCUACUACAAGGGGAUAACCCGUUGAAAGACGGACUAAUACCCUAUAACACAGGGAAUCCGCAUGGAUAUAUUUGUUAAAGAUUUAUCGGUAGUAGAUGGGCAUGCGUUCCAUUAGCUUGUUGGUGAGGUAACGGCUCACCAAGGCAACGAUGGAUAGGGGAACUGAGAGGUUGAUCCCCCACACUGGAACUGAGACACGGUCCAGACUCCUACGGGAGGCAGCAGUGAGGAAUAUUGGUCAAUGGACGAGAGUCUGAACCAGCCAAGUCGCGUGAAGGAAGACGGCCCUACGGGUUGUAAACUUCUUUUGUAAGGGAAUAAAUAGUCUUACGCGCUAAGACGUUGCAGGUACCUUACGAAUAAGGAUCGGCUAACUCCGUGCCAGCAGCCGCGGUAAUAGUCACG